rnacentral:rRNA from 1 species
UACGUAGGCAGCAAGCGUUGUUCGGAGUUACUGGGCGUAAAGAGUGCGUAGGCGGUGCCCUAAGUCUGUUGUGAAAUCUCCCGGCUUAACUGGGAGGGUGCGGUGGAAACUGGGGUGCUUGAGUGUGGGAGAGGUAAGCGGAAUUCCUGGUGUAGCGGUGAAAUGCGUAGAUAUCAGGAGGAACACCGGUGGUGUAGACGGCUUACUGGACCACGACUGACACUGAGGCACGAAAGCGCGGGUAGCAAACAGG